CCUGUACAGGGCCAUGGGAGACAGCAGUCAGCCCCUCCCUGGCCAGCCGAGGGGUGUCAGACAGACCUGGGCUCUGCCAGUCACGCACAGUAUGACCUCACCUCCGAGCCUCAGUUUCCCCAUGUGUAAAAUGGGCCUAGCCCCGAGCCUGCAGCAGCUCACCAGAGGCUGUGGCAAGAUAGGUAGCCAGUGGUCAAAGGUGUGGAUUCUGGAAUGACUGCCCAGAGUCGAUCCCUGCUCUGAAUCAGUUCUGUCACCUUGGACUUUGCCUCGGUCUCCUUGCAUGUGACAUUGGGUGACCGGGGCACCCACCUCCUAGAGCUGUGGGGGUCGGGCGGGUGUUCAGGCCCGUGGACGAAGUAAGUCCUGGGGUGUGUUAGGAGUCUGAAGUAUCCAGGUGGGGAGGCAGUCAAGGACCAGGCUUCGGCACCGCAAGUCCAGGAGACCCAGGAUGGGUGGGGUGGGGGCAGUGAGGGAGGGCUUCCUGGCGGGAGUGAGGUCUGAGGGACGUACAGUUGACCAGAUGAAGAGGCAGGGCUCGGUGUGGGCAAGAGGGGCCCAGGCUUGGGGACAACCCAGCCUUGGAGGUGGGUGGCCUGGGCAGGGCUCAGUGUGGCUGGGGCAGCAGGGAGAGGAGGUGGGAGCAGGACCCCGUUGCCAAGCCGGGAAGAGCUGGGCCUCCGGAAGCUGUGAGUCAGGGCCUUGCUCAAUCCUGGGGGGAGUCGCAGGAUCAGAUUCGCCCCCAGACAGACCGCCCCACUUCCCUGGGGAGGAGGGGCUGGGACUGGAGACGGGCAGGCUAGGUCGGGGCUCCAGGACAGGUGUCUGGCCCUCCCAGUCCACUGAGGAGGAGGUGGGCUCAGAGAGGGGACGUGGUUGCCCCAGGUCACACGGCCAGUGGGCUCGCUGGGACCAGCCCUAAGGUUUCCUGCCUCGGAGGCCAGAACUUUGCAGUGGGAAUGGGGGCUGCCGGGGCCGGGGAUCCCCGCUCACCCGGCUUCCCUCGGGCAGGGAACAGCCCCUGUCUCCUGGGGGAGGGGGUGACAUACCGAGUGCUGGACUGAGGGGACACAGGAAGGGUUAAAGGGGCAGUUGAUAGCCUCACCGUGGAAUGAAGGGGACACACGAGGUUGCCCCGCGUGAGCUGGUAGGCAGAUUCAGAGCCGUGCUGUUGGUGAGAAGGGCAGGGCCAGCCACCACAGUGGGGUUGAGAACCCUGGAUUGUGUCUCCGUGGGCCCACCCACACGUGUACAUGCAGGGACAAGUCUGGAAGGUUUCUUCAGGAUGGAGAUGUCGGGAUGCCCCUCGGUCUGGCAACAGCUAGGGAAGGCGGGGCCAUGCCGGCUACCUACCCACUCCUCCAAAAGGCAGGCUGGCGAGGGUCAAGUGCAUGAAGCCGUCGUUCCCACAGAAGCUCCCACUGCUGGUCUGGGCCAGCACUCGCUUGACCACCUGCAAGGGAAGCAGCGAUGAGGCCCCGUGGCUGGGCAGCAAGAGGCCACCAGGAAGAGUCUGGCCACCGUGUGAGCUGCAGGGGGGUGUGGUCGCGUGGCAGCCGACACUGAGCCCCCAACUCGGGACGUGUUUCCUGAGCAUCUGCUCCGUGUGGCCCCUGCUGGGGAUCCAGGCUUAGAGUCGAGAGGGAGGCGGGAAGCCCAGCGGUCGUCUGGGGACACGGAGAGUUCAGGGUGAAACGCCAGGUCGUCAGGGAGGCGUCCCAGAGGAGGGAUGAGCUGCACCUGCGGCAUCUCAGGGGGAAAGGGGGCCCCCCAGGCAGAGGGAGGGACAGGUGCAGAGACCCAGGGACUGGCCCACGCGGUGUGCAGCACAGGGAGGACAUUGACCCAGGGCGACACAGCCAGAUUGGUAUUUUAAAAGCAUUAACUUGGCCCUUGCGUGACUUUAGGAAGAUCUUUUCUCUUUAACCUAUAGGUGUAUUUGAAGAACGAGAGGGAAAGAAGAUUA